rnacentral:rRNA from 1 species
CAGCAGCCACGGGAAUACGGAGGGAGCUAGCGUUGUUCGGAAUUACUGGGCGUAAAGCGCGCGUAGGCGGUUACUCAAGUCAGAGGUGAAAGCCCGGGGCUCAACCCCGGAACUGCCUUUGAAACUAGGUGACUAGAAUCUUGGAGAGGUCAGUGGAAUUCCGAGUGUAGAGGUGAAAUUCGUAGAUAUUCGGAAGAACACCAGUGGCGAAGGCGACUGACUGGACAAGUAUUGACGCUGAGGUGCGAAAGCGUGGGGAGCAAACAGGAUUAGAUACCCCCGUAGUCCCUGUCUCUUAUAC